rnacentral:lncRNA from 1 species
AUUCUCCUAGACAAACAUGUAUAGAAAUCCCAGCACUGGAGAGUUGAUGAGAAAGUGGGCAGAUCGGCUCUAUUCACAGCUGGGGGAAACUGACCACUUUAACAAAAGGAAGAAUGCUCAGGUAACAUCUAGCCCAAAGGUCGCUCAGGAAUGUUCAAAGCACUCAGGAGAGAGUGAAGUAUCCCAUCUUUGGGACACACAAGUCCCACUCAGCAUCCAUUGAAAGCGCAGCACCAAAAGCAUUGAGAUGGUGGCAGGACCUCAUUUUCCCUCUUCUCUAUUCCCUUACUCUUUCUCCAGCACAGAAGAAGCCUUGCUGAACACCUCCCGAGCAGAUGGCAUCAGAGAGAAGCUGGAUGUUUUUCCUCAAAUGGAUUAAGAAAGCAGAAGCUUCUGCCAGGGGUAACAAUGCCACUUGUGGGCACCACUGAUUUUUAAAGCACUCCACAUUCAUUAGCUCAUGGAGCCUUCGCAGCAUCCCUGGAAGGCAAGAUGUUGUAGAGACGAGGUUUCAC